rnacentral:rRNA from 1 species
GUGAGGAAUUUUCCGCAAUGGGCGAAAGCCUGACGGAGCAAUGCCGCGUGAAGGAUGAAGGCCUAUGGGUUGUAAACUUCUUUUCUCAGAAAAGAAUUAUGACGGUAUCUGAGGAAUAAGCAUCGGCUAACUCUGUGCCAGCAGCCGCGGUAAGACAGAGGUUGCAAGCGUUAUCCGGAAUGAUUGGGCGUAAAGCGUCUGUAGGUUGUUUAAAAAGUAUUCUGUCAAAGAUUAGGGCUUAACCCUAGAUAGGCAGAAUAAACUUUUAAGCUAGAGUUUGGUAGAGGCAGAGGGAAUUCCCGGUGGAGCGGUGAAAUGCGUAGAUAUCGGGAGGAACACCAAAGGCGAAGGCACUCUGCUGGGCCAAUACUAACACUGAGAGACGAAAGCGAGGGGAGCAAAUGGGAUUAGAAACCCGGGUAGUCC